UACGGAGGGUGCAAGCGUUAAUCGGAAUUACUGGGCGUAAAGCGUGCGCAGGCGGUUUGUUAAGCCAGAUGUGAAAGCCCCGGGCUCAACCUGGGAACUGCGUUUGGUACUGGCAAGCUAGAGUACGGCAGAGGGGGGUGGAAUUCCACGUGUAGCAGUGAAAUGCGUAGAGAUGUGGAGGAACACCGAUGGCGAAGGCAGCCCCCUGGGCCGAUACUGACGCUCAGGCACGAAAGCGUGGGGAGCAAACAGG
rnacentral:rRNA from 1 species